GUAAUAGAGGGCUUGAUCUUUUUCUGUGGAGCAAGAAGGGAACCAGGAGAGAUUUGGGGAAGUGUCAGACUUCAGCUGAACCCAGACAAAUGCAUGGUGUGGGUACUCACAGGGAGAACAUUUGGGAAGGGCUAUACCAGGGCCAGUGACUUGUAGGCUGGGGAGGCCUAGAGCUGUUUUGAGAAGAAUUUGGUGGGAGAGAAAGCUGGAGAUGAGCUUCCCAGGUGGCUCGGUGGUAAAAGAAUCUGCCUGCUAAUGCAGGAGAUACAAGAGAUGUGGUUUCAAUCCCUAGGUGGUGAAGAUCCCCUAGAGGAGGAAAUGGCAACCCACUCCAGUAUUCUUGCCUGAAAAAUCCAAUAGAAAGAGGAGCCUGGCAGGCUACAGUCCAUGGGGUCUCAAGGAGUUGGACAUGACUAAGGACAUGUCCAAAAGCUAGAGACAAAGGCAGAAGGAAGAUCAUAGAGGACUUGGUAAGCCAUGAUGAAAAUCUAUACUUUGUCUAGUUGGUAAUGGAGUUUAAGCAAGGGAGUAGCAUUACCAUUUUGCUUUAUUUUUUUCUUUACUCUUUAAGAGAAGGGAGCCAGCUUGUCACUUAGGAAAUCAGUUAAGAGACCAAAGCACCUGCCCAAGAGAGAAAGCAGAGAGCUGGUAUUCAGAUAGUUGCAGAGUGCAGGGAGGAUGGGAGGAGGUGGUGUGGAGAGAUGUCAUAGAAUAGAAUAGAAUGUAUAGAUCUUGUCUUGGUGACCAGUUGAUUGCAGGAGAGAGAGUAGGACUUCUGGUCUGGGUGGUUAGGUAGAUCAUGGGGCCAUUUACUAAGAUGAAGACACAGUUAAAACUAUUGGAUAGUUCAUAUAAAGAAUAUUAAUGAAUUCAAUAUACGAUUAAUGGGAUGUUGUCACUGUUUUUCUCCAAAGCAUGCGCUCAGACAGAACAGCGGGCAGAGGUUGCAGUCUCCUCACAGGAAGGAUUUGAGGAAAGUGUUGAUCUGUAUUUCCACGAGAAUGAAUUGCUGGUUCAUUUAUCAGGUGUGAAGGAGUGGAUGUUAACAGAUGUGGAACAGCUAAUAUUUUCCCUACCCACUUAUCAAGGACAAAGCCAUAAAUGUUACGGAAUGCUACAACUGAAAGUAAACAUCUUCUUCUACUGCAAACUCUACUUUCUGGAUCAGGGCAAGAACAUUUCCUGUCACCUGCUACCAUUUGUGGACUUGGACUGAAAUUUGGAAUUAGGAAAGGAAGUUUUGCAUUAGGAAGGUGUCUCUGGCCCGCUGAGUGGCUUACUAUGGAUGUUUCUCUGCAUAUAAUAAAAUUCAAUUUAUUCUUCAAACUAUAUUCCGUGCAGUCACUUACCAUAUACAUUUG
ensembl:lncRNA